UUAAAAUCAAAUUGUUUGUUUGUAUGUGCCCUGCGAUUGGCUGGCAACCAGUUCUGGGUGUACCCCGCCUCCUGCCCGAUGAUAGCUGGGAUAGGCUCCAUUCUCUUCUUAGAAGAGAGGCCUUACCGCUGCUGCGUUGAAGGCAACAGAGAAGGCGCCAGUCUAAGAGCAAUUUACCAUGUUUAAUUGCUAUUUUCGAAAAAAAUUUGAAAAAAUCCAUAAAAUACUUUUUAAAAAAUGACGUUGGGAUAGGGUACAUAGACCAUGUGGUGGGCCUCAUUGUGGAGAGAACUUUGUCAAGCUUCUCAGCAUGAACCAGGACAAAACUGGCCAGUGUUUCGUCAAGUAAAGGCAAACACUUGCUGUUAUUAUGUUAUAUCAACUAAAUGUCCAUGCUGAUUUGUCUUUUUUUUUUUUUUUUAAAGGGAGUUCCUGAUGAGUCACCAUACGGUGUGACAUAAAAGCAGAACUUGAAAACAUUGUGAUGUUAAAAAUCCCCGUUGUACUUUUUACACACUUUCAUGUUUUAUGUCGCUGGUUAAAAUGAAUGUAGUGGGAGUUUGUUUUGCCUUAUAAAUGGAAUGAUGUGAAAUUUAAGGAUCAUUUUGCAAAGAUAAUGGGGAAUCGUUCGAUCAUUUGAUAAACUUAUUUAGUGAUUAUGUAUGAGAAUUUAAAUGUCUAUUUUCUUUACUAUACCGUCCUGUAUUUUACAACCCUAUGUUAUACUUGUGACAGUGAUCCACUUGCGUGUUGUCGUGGCCGAGUGGUUAAGGCGAUGGACUAGAAAUCCAUUGGGGUCUCCCCGCGCAGGUUCGAAUCCUGCCGACAACGAUUACUUGCUUUUAUUUUUUCCAGAUAUUACAUUUGAACGCUUUCUUAACUGACGUAUUCGCAUUCCAUACUUAUUGUUAUUUUCAUUUGUUGUCCCGAGGAAAAUCAAUAUGAUAGUGGCAUUAUUUGGAUUGAAGGAACGCACAUUUCCGCCUCACGCUCACGUGGUGGGCAACGUCAAGCCUUCUGAACUGUGCAAUCGUACUUUCCUUUUUACCUUGAAAAUAAAUGCCAACGUAAAUGUACUGUAGUGUCUACUCUGAAAUGGCCGGUAUAAUGGGUCUUAAUGAAUUCAUAGCUGCUGCUUCUUUACGUUAUUUUGAUUGUUUGAUUCGAAUUGUCCGAGAUAAACCAAUUAAAUAGAGACAUAAUUUACUUCGAAGGCUUGGCUAUGUAGUUCCGCCUCAUGCUGCCGUUCCUUAGCAACGUCAAAUGUGUCGUAAUGGCGACCUAGCCAGCUAGCUUCUGAAGCUAGCCAGCAGACCGCCCCCAUGGACGACGACUUGGACGAGCUGUUGGACGAAGUGGAAAAGAAGUUCUGUCACAACAUUUCCGUCGCGUCUGACAGCCCGUCGAGCUCUAAAAAGGAGAGAGAGUGCGGGAAAGACGAGCUUCUGAAUGUCGGACAUGGACAGAAGAUAAGCAGCAGCAUCACUGAGGACAUUGACACUCUAUUGAAGGAAUUCCAGGAGGAAGACCACAGUGAUGCACUACAGACUAAGACUGCACCGCUUUCCAAAGGACACCGGGACGACCAGAUUCAUUGUCAAUCUGGAGGGAGAAAAUGCUGUCCCAUUUACCUUGGAGGGAGUGCCGUAGCAAAGGGAGUGGGAACGGCCACUUCCAAAAGGUCAUGCGACCAGCUGAGAUGCACUUCCUGCGACUUCCGGGUGCUGACGUUUGACGACUGCGAGUGGGACUCGUCAUGCGAUUACCUCUUCCUCAGGGUCGCGGGAGUGCUGGAGCCUAUCCCAGCUGUCAUCGGGCAGGAGGCGGGGGACACCCUGAACUGGUUGCCAGCCAAUCGCAGGGCACAUACAAACAAACAACCAUUCGCUCUCACAUUCACAUCUACGGGCAAUUUAGAGUCGUCAAUUAACCUACCAUGCAUGUUUUGGGGAUGUGGGAGGAAACCGGAGUGCCCGGAGAAAACCCACACAGGCACGGGGAGAACAUGCAAACUCCACACAGGCGGGGCCGGGGAUUGGACCCGGGUCCUCAGAACUGUGAGGCAGACACUCUAACCAGUCGUACACCGUGCCGCCCUGUAUUGUGUUUUACAACAAUAUUUAGAAUGUCACUGUGGAUUAAAAAAAAAAAAAAACGAAGCUUGUGGCCAAAAUGCACACGGUUAUACACUUACCUGACUGGCCUUUGAAAUAAGCGAGCGUCUUUUAAAAUAUUGUAUUACACUUUCAUGUCCUGUUUCUGGAGCAACCCGCUUUUAUUGUUUAAUAAGUGUGUUAAAGUACAAUAUACUGUAUAUGUGCAGCAUGAAACGCUUAUAUAUGCUCGCUAUUCACAACGUCCAUAUAUCCAAUCGCUUAAUGUGUGUGGGGGGUGGAUGAUCCCGAGGUGCAGCUGUCAUUUUGACACUUGACGGCAGCAUAGUGGAGGAGGCUCACGAUGGUUGUCCAGCCUGUUUCAGGGUCCGACGCAGCCCCCACGUCUACUUCCUCUUUUCUGAUAUCGAUUUCUGCUUUUCGUGUCACGUCUCCGGAGCUCAGCUGGAAUGUCGCCGGUGAUCGAUGUCCCUCGGUAGAUAAGGAAGUCACAGCUGAGAGAAUUCUUCCCAGUCUGCGUUCCUCCACGUCAUGACAGGAACAACAUGCCCAACCAAGGGAAGCUGGGAGCCAAGCUGCGGAAGAGGAGAGGC